rnacentral:tRNA from 1 species
GCCUUCGUGGUGUAAAGGUAACACACUCGGCCCGUAUUCGAAAGGUCCAGGUUCGAGUGCCGGCGAGAGCA